CCUACGGGAGGCAGCAGUGAGGAAUAUUGGACAAUGGGCGCAAGCCUGAUCCAGCCAUGCCGCGUGCAGGAAGAAGCAUCUAUGGUGUGUAAACUGCUUUUGUACAGGAAGAAACACUCCCUCGUGAGGGAGCUUGACGGUACUGUAAGAAUAAGGACCGGCUAACUCCGUGCCAGCAGCCGCGGUAAUACGGAGGGUCCGAGCGUUAUCCGGAAUCAUUGGGUUUAAAGGGUCCGUAGGCGGUUUAAUAAGUCAGUGGUGAAAUCUGGUCGCUCAACGAUCAAACGGCCAUUGAUACUGUUAGACUUGAAUUAUAAGGAAGUAACUAGAAUAUGUAGUGUAGCGGUGAAAUGCUUAGAUAUUACAUGGAAUACCAAUUGCGAAGGCAGGUUACUACUUAUGGAUUGACGCUGAUGGACGAAAGCGUGGGGAGCGAACAGGAUUAGAUACCCUGGUAGUCCACGCCGUAAACGAUGGAUACUAGCUGUUCGGAGCAAUCUGAGUGGCUAAGCGAAAGUGAUAAGUAUCCCACCUGGGGAGUACGUUCGCAAGAAUGAAACUCAAAGGAAUUGACGG
rnacentral:rRNA from 1 species